GGCCUAACACAUGCAAGUCGAACGCUCUAGCAAUAGAGAGUGGCAGACGGGUGAGUAACGCGUGGGAAUCUUCCCAGGGGUACGGAAUAGCUCAGGGAAACUUGGGGUAAUACCGUAUGAUGCCGAAAGGCCAAAGAUUUAUCGCCCUUGGAUGAGCCCGCGUCGGAUUAGCUAGUUGGUGAGGUAAAGGCUCACCAAGGCGACGAUCCGUAGCAGGUCUGAGAGGAUGAUCUGCCACACUGGGACUGAGACACGGCCCAGACUCCUACGGGAGGCAGCAGUGGGGAAUUUUGGACAAUGGGCGAAAGCCUGAUCCAGCCAUGCCGCGUGAGUGAAGAAGGCCUUCGGGUUGUAAAGCUC
rnacentral:rRNA from 1 species